UUAAAUGAGAAAUAGUAAAAUACACAUGAUUUCAGUUGAAAUUUCAGCAAAAUCGGCGAGAUUUUUAAAAAAUAUUGAAUAACGUGGCAGUAUUGAACGGAACUUCGAAGAGUGAACUUUAAUUGUGAGUUUAGUUAGUUGCAGUUAAUGUAAAUCAAAAAUUAGCAACAAUAAAAAUAACGCAAAAAAAUUAAAAAAUAGUGCAAACAAAUUAAAACAAGUGCAAAUAAAUUAUAAAACAAUGUAAACAAUUUCAAAAGAAAUAAAGAAAAUUGUUACAAAAAUUAAAAAAAAUAUUUUAGAGGUUUGUAAUUCUCAAAAUAUGGACGUUGGGGCUUCUUUUGUCUAUUUGGUGAAAAAAGGUAUUAAUAAGGAUGUUGCAGAAAUUUUGAGAAAUUGCAAAACUGAAAACAUUGAUUCCUCCAGAACAAAACUUCAAUCGUAUAAAAUAUUUAAUGAACGAGACAUUUUAAAAUCGUAGAUUUGAAGUUGGAUAUUUAAACAUAUUGGAUACUUACCUAACAUUUCUUUCCUACAAGGGCACAAUUGUAAAAAUCGCAAACUAAUUUAUGAGUGCUUUUUAAAAGUUGCUUUUAAUUUCUAGAUUGAAAAUGGAUUGGAGCUCUUAAAAGGAAGGAAACAGAAUUUCUCCAAUAUGAAUCUUGCUGCCAAGAAGAAAUUUGAAAAAAAAAACUAAUGUUUUGAUUGCGAUAAAUUUAGAUGAUUGGGAAAAACUUGUUGCAGAGGAAGAUUUAAUAUCCCUCGUUUUAGAAAUUUAUGUGAGAUAUAAGAACUGCUUUGACCUUUCUUUAUGGAGUGCGCAAACGAUUUUCUUACAGUAAACAUUAUCUUUUUCUUGUAAUUUAAAAUUUGAUAAAAAAAUUUUGAAGUUGUUAAAUUUUUUCGAAGUUUAUAUAUACAAAAUGAAAAAUGUAAAAUGGUACUGUUUCGGUGUUAUAUUAAAAAAUUAUA